GAUGAAGAACGUAGCGAAAUGCGAUAAGUAAUGUGAAUUGCAGAAUUCAGUGAAUCAUCGAAUCUUUGAACGCACAUUGCGCCCCUUGGUAUUCCGAGGGGUAUGCCUGUUCGAGCGUCAUUAUAACCCCUCAAGCUCAGCUUGGUGUUGGGGCCUGCUGCACUGGCAGCCCUUAAAAUCAGUGGCGGCGCCAUCUGGCUCUAAGCGUAGUAAUUCUUCUCGCUAUGGAGUCCUGGUGGAUGCUUGCCAUCAACCCCCAAUUUUUCUAUGGUUGACCUCGGAUCAGGUAGGGAUACCCGCUGAACAUAAGCAUAUCAAUAAGCGGAGGA
rnacentral:misc_RNA from 1 species